rnacentral:rRNA from 1 species
UACGUAGGGUGCAAGCGUUAAUCGGAAUUACUGGGCGUAAAGCGUGCGCAGGCGGUUAUGCAAGGCAGAUGUGAAAUCCCCGGGCUCAACCUGGGAACUGCAUUUGUGACUGCAUGGCUAGAGUACGGUAGAGGGGGAUGGAAUUCCGCGUGUAGCAGUGAAAUGCGUAGAUAUGCGGAGGAACACCGAUGGCUAAGGCAAUCCCCUGGACCUGUACUGACGCUCAUGCACGAAAGCGUGGGGAGCAAACAGG